UUGUUUUUUGUUUUGCUUUUUAGGGCCACACCUGCGUCAUAUGGAAGUUCGCAGGUUAGGCGUCGAAUUGGAGCUGCAGCUGCCAGCCUGCACCACAGCCACAGCAACGUGGAAGCUGAGCCUGCAAACUAUGCCACAGCUCACGGCAAUGCCAGAUCCUUAACCCACUGAGCAGGGCUGGGGGUUGAACUCACAUCCUCAUGCUUGCCGGUUGGAUUCAUUUCCACUGAACCAGGAAGGGAACUCCCUCAAUCCUUCUUUUUCAAAAAAAGAAAGGAAGGGGCCUGUGUCUUGGGGAUUAGAAGUAGGCCUCCCACCUCCCAGACCCUCCACUUCCUCAAGACCCAUCCUCUCUUGCAGAAACUUAGUGAGAAACACAUAUUUCUUAUGGAUCACAUUUUCACCCCAGUUCUAAACAGAAAAUGCUUAACUUGCUCUCUCGCACCCCUAAUAUUUGACUGUUCCUUCUCUAUAUCCACCUGGUGCCAAGUCCGAGCAAACCUUUUCUGCUCCAUAUUUAUAGCCACGUUUGCAUUUUCAGGUUUUUCUCAUUGUUACUCUUGUCCUUUUCUUCCCAGAAAUUCCUCCCCCUCAAUUCCUUACCCGAACAUAGAUUAAAAUCUCCCAAAUCGGCACCCUUAGCCCCUACCUUCUAGCAAUAAGGGUGGACCCAGCAGCACUGGUGCUUGAGAAAGAGCGAGGGAAGGGAACAGAAUGUAUGAGAGGGAACAGCGCAGGUGCUUCCAAGAGUUAGCGGUUCCAGGCCUCCAGGACACAGUUAAAACCUAGCCCUGGUCAACCCAGCCAACGCUGGGGCUCCAGGAAGGUCUCCCUUCUAAAGGGACGGACCUGUGCUACCAAACCUGCAUUCUAAAAAUAAGCAAACAAAUUUUGUCAUCCAAAAGCACACAGAUUUGGGAAACGGGUAAAUGCUUGGAAAGAACUAAGAAGGCAAAUUAAGCUCGCAAUUAAGACUCACUCCCUGCCUGGCGAGCUGAAUUUUCAGUGGUAAAGAGAAAGGAGAUUUGAAGGACGCUCCAAACUCAGCCCGAGCUGCCACAAAGCCCCAGGAGGACCCAGGCCACCCCUUUCAAGACUUCUGUCCCCACAAUAGGCCUCCCUCAGGCCUCAGCCUUCCCCGGGCGAUUAACAUGCAACGGCGGAGCUCCCAGGACAGGGAAUUUAUUCUGCGGGGGAGGCUGGGAGGUGCAGGGGGUCAGGUGGCUCCUCGUUAAAUCACUCUGCUGUCAGUCCCACACAAUUCCUCUCCCCUCCAGCUCAGUCAUUACUUGGGUUUAUGCAAAAUAAACAGCUUUGCUAAAUAUUCCCCCAGACGGGGCCCACAAAGGCCCGGGCUAAGGGGGCCGAGUGCACCCAGGGACCCAGAAAACUGUCUGCUCCCCCCACUGCCCCCGCCUUGUUCAGCAGCUCGGGCCCCGGGGGCCUGGACGUCCAUCUCUCAGUCUGCUGCAAGUUUUUCUUUUUUCUUUGCGGUUGGUUUUGUGUUUAGCUGUUCUUCUUUCUUUUUUGGUAAUUCCUCCCAAGACGCUGCCAUGAAUACUGUUAACUUAUUCUUGUCCGGCUCUAACUCACUCGCUCCACUUUCUUUCUUGAGCCCCGUAAGACUUACAAUCCCCACUUUUCUAUAGGGGAACUGAGCCAUGAGAAAUCUCUUACAAACGCUCCCAGAAAGGAGCCGGUUCUCAGAAGAUCCUUCAAGCCCAGGCUGGGCGGAGGGGGCAGUGGGCGCCCAGCAAGAAUCCUAAUUGUCCCAGAGCCACACACAGGCCCCGAGUGGGGGAGGGGAGCUGCGGGGCAGGCCCACCCUGCUUGGAACCUGACUCUCCCUUUCUCGGGGAGCUGCAUUUGCUCAUUCACCCUGAAUUCACCCCCCCCCAUUUCUGUCCACCGGCAAAAACUAAGCAUGAAUAAGAAGCUUCUAGAAGCUGUGGCAACUCAGCCCUCCUCCCAGACCACUUGGGGACAGGCUGGGCUACUGAGAUAUCUGAGAUGGUCUCCUAAGGCAACCUUAGUUUAAAAGCUAAUGAUUAUGUGUGCAGGUGGCAGGAGCUGGAUGAGGCAAGGUCACAGUCCCCAUUCUGCACACAGGGAGCCUGAAGCAUGGCAGACAGGUGGCGGGCUACCCACCCCACUCCCCAACUUCAAGUUCCCAGUAUCUGCCAGAGAAGCGGCAUUAACCCCAGCUGGUGUGGGUGCUCCAGAAGUGGUCCCGGAGAAAGAAUGUGAGUGCAACGGGGUUAUUUUGGAGGUGACAGGCCACCUUACGGCACCAGGGACAAGCAAGGUGGGAAGGCCAACCAGGGCAUCUAUACACUCCCGGCCCCUCUGGGAAACGGCUUGACAUGGCCAGGACACUGAGAGCAGGGUACAGAGCUACUGAUCGCAGGUGGGGGAGCUGGGGCACUGAUGUACCAGUUCUGCCAAAGCCAUCCAUUUUCAGGUGUUAACUUGGAGCCCUGGCCUGCCUCCAGGCCAGCAGCAAGAGAAAGCCCUCGAGCACACACGCCAGCGCCUGGGUCCACUGACGUGGUCAGGAGGUGGCAGCAAGAGCAGUCCACGUGUUCUCUGCUGCAGGCACUCACGGUCUAGUUCUAAACCAGCAGCCACCCCUAUGCCGGCUGUGAGGCACAGAGCAGGCUUCACGCACCCACUUUUCUGAGGUGCAAAUAGAGGCCUGUGCCCCACCCAACAGCCCACAGGCCUUCCUGACUUCCUGCCCCCAAAACCAACACUGAAAGGACCACCUGGUUCCAUGGCCCAGACCUUGGUCCUCCUGGACCUGCAGAAACCUCUCCUGAAACAAACCUCCCCCUGGUGACCCAGGAGAACCUUCAAGAGGUCAAAAGCAAGGAGAGGACGCCAGUGGGACUUGAGCCAAGAGGUCAGAUCUUCCCUUCCCUCAGCCCUCAGUGCGGUGGCAUGGGGGUGGCGAAGACACACACCACAGACAAGGCUUUAAGAAACGCCCAUCCAGGGUGCUGGGUUAAGGAGUCCAAGGAGGUGACUACAAUUUGCAUCGUCAAGCAGGUCAGGAGGUAAACAGUCCUGCAGGGUGCAGAGGGGAGGGGGCCUCACUGGAGUCUGGUGCUGGUCACACAUAUGGGGUGAGGGAGGAAGAGGGGCCCCCCUCUUCCAGGAGUCUAACGUUGACGAUGGUACGAUGCCUCCAUCUUGUUCUGAUUUGCCCAAUUCUUUAUGUCCUCGUGUGCGUGCGCAGGCGCGUGCACAAACGCAGACUGGGUACACACCACCUCAGUGGAGAUCCAAACAGUCCCAACACCACAAGGAUCUCAUGCGCCCUUUUACAGCCACAUCACACAUCCACCUCCCACCCACACCCACAUCUCUCUGCCACCCUAACAACAACCAUUUCUCUGUUCUCCAUGGCUAACGGUUUACCAUUUCCAAAACUUUUAUCUCCACGGAUACUUUGUAACCUUUUGGGAUUGGUUUUGUCCCUCAGCAUCAUUCCCUAGCGCGUCACCAAAGCUGGUGCGACUAUCAAAAGUGUUCCUCUGGAGAAAACCAUAAUGUGAAAAGAUCCAUGCACCCCAAUGUUCACGGCAGCACUGUUUACAAUAGCCAAGACAUGGAAGUAGCCUAAAUGUCCAUCAACAGAUGAAUGGAUAAAGAAGAUGUGGUACAUAAACCCAAUGGAAUACUACUAGGCCAAAAAAACCACAAAAGAAUGCCAUUUGCAACAGCACAGAUGGACCCAGAGAUUAUUAUACUAAAGUGAAGUAAGUCAGAGAGUGAAAGACAAAUAUCAUAUGAUAUUCCUUAAAUGUGGAAUCUUUAAAAAUGAUACAAAUGGGAGUUCCCGUCGUGGCACAGUGGUUAACGAAUCCGACUAGGAAUCAUGAGGCUUUUCUAAUUGGAUCGUUUCUUUUGUUCCUGUAGAGUUUUGAGAACACUUUAUAUAUUCUGGAUACUAGUCCUUGGUCAGAUCUGUGGUUUGCAAAGAUUUUCUCCCAGCCUGGAGCUUGUCUUUUCAUCCUCUUCACCAGGGCUUUUGAAGAGCAAACUUUUAAAAUUUUUGCGGAGGUCCAAUAUGUUGGUAUUUCCUUUUGUGAAUCAUGCUUUUGGGGUCCAAAUCCUAUGCCUGGCUGGCUCUGGAUCCUGCAGACUCUUUUUCUCAAAAAACAAAAAAACAAAAAAAAAAAAAACAAAAGUUGUGUCGCUUUAGAUUUUACAUCCACAUGGCAUUUUCAUUUCUCAUUCCUUUCUCGGGUGGGGACAUGUGCACACGUGCUGAGAUGGGCAGUGUUCUUUCUCCAUCUCUACCUGCCAACCACCAUCUAAGGACGGGUCCAGGUGGCUUACAAGUUGGUAGGAAAGAUGAAGUGCAAAGAGCCAUUUAAGCUUCCUUAGAACAUCUCAACUGGCUAAACCUGUCCCACUUGUCUUCUCAUCUUUAUGAGCAGCCUUUAUGACAGGUGGGGCCAGAAAAGGACUGAAAGAGAAGAGACAACUUCUCUGUGGUUCCCUGCUUUCCUUCUCCCUGAGGACCAGGUAUAAGAUGUGUUCUGGUCCCCUGAGGUCCCUGGGGUUUGUGACCUAAAGACCUCACUGGGCUCUGAGGCCAUCUAGCCCAGCCCCUCUGCACUGUACCCCCUGCUCUCAGGACAGGGAGACCUGGUUCCCAUCUGCUGCCGGGAUGGCAGCUCCACCACCUCCGUUUUACCCAAACAUGGGGAAAACCAGAACUUUAAGUGACUGCUAACUGCCAGGCCUGUGAAUGCUUUGCACUCUCUGGAAAGCAGGAUUCGGUGCCCCGAUCUCGCCAAAGCUGGCCCAUCUGGGUCACCUGGAGGGCCUCUGAGUGGAGCCCAGGCUCAGGUGGUGACUCCUGGCCCCAAACUGACCCCCUACCCAUGGCAACCCUGAAUAGAGGCCCAUUUGAGGAAAACUAUUGUCACUGAUGAUAAGCAACUUAUAUCCCAGGGUUCCAACUGUGAUGAAAGAAAACCCCUGGUGGUUUCUGCAUGCAGAUGGGCAUCUGAAAACUCCACAUCGUUCCCAUUCAAACCCAACCCAACCACAGACGCGUCUACACGGAACAGCGAGCUUCCUAGGGGAGCAUGGCCCUAGGGUCCGUGUGUCACUAACCGCUGCCUACCCUCCCCUGACUCUCACGGCACAGGGUUCAAGUCCUUUGUGCUUGAAGAAGGAAAAAAAGAAGGCCAUGAAAAAUAAGACAAUAAAUGUGACCAAACUUUGGGUCUCAUUCCUGAUGCUGAGCCACAGUGUCCCAUCGAGAGAAAAAUGAACCACCACCAGGCGUCACAGAUGGCCCAGAAAAACACCCAAACUGAAACCCCAAACCUCUCCUGUCUGGCCAAAAAAGACAGCACAGCGAUGGAUUGCAGGGCAUUCUGGCAACUGAACAUGUUUACCCCGGUGGUGGGGGUGGGGGUGGGGGUGGGGAUGGGGAUGGGGGGCUGCCCGCCAUAAGCAAAGCCCUCCCACCGCCCCCACAUCCCUUGCUCACUGGGGGCUCUUUACAGCAUCCAGCCAGACAGGCAAAGGCAGGUGACAGGGUAGGGGCUUAAGGGGACCCUUGCAGGGCUGGACUGCAGGAAGGCCACUCCAAAUCACUUUGGCAAACUUGAACCAAGCCACAGGCCACCCGAGCUGGCAAAAAAACAAGAGUCUAAGGGCCAGGUCCCGCCAGCCGUGUCUGAGCCUCUGUCGCCCAGCCUCUCCCCUCCUCGGAGUGGGUGCCCCUGGUCCCUCUCUGAGUGAGCAAUAAAAGAAGGCUGUGAGCGCACGUCCCAAGCCUGAGCCGGCUGUCACACUGACUGAGCACCACGCCAGGAGUCUGGCCCCCUCGAGGACCUGGGCAAACGCUGGUAUGAAGCCCUCCCCUUCCUCUUAAGGGUUUGCUCAGCAGCCACUCCACCGUUUCCCCAGGAGGAGACCCCCGACCCUGACAACCCAUCAAGUGGAUGCAAAUCGUGGCCCAGACAAAACCAAGCAAACAGCACCCCGCUCUGGAAUAAUGGCCUCGGUGGGAGAAGAGCCCUCACAACAAUGAUGGCUGUGUACACAGCCUACUAAAUACCCAAACUUUUGAUUAGCCUCAAUGAUCUGUGUGUGCACCCGCCUCCUUUGAAACGCUCCCAAGUACACGCACAAGUUGACUCAAGGCUAACCGCAAACAGUGGCCAGCCUGGGCCUUGUCGCCACCAGACACAGCCCUCGCUGCUGUGGAUCCCCCGCCUCCUGGCACUCCAACACCCAGCCCGGCAUGGAAAAGGACCCUCUUGAGAGGACGGUGAUCACAGGCUCCAUGCUCUGGCAAGAAAGGAUCUAAUCUGAUGAGCAUCCAUCCGGGUUCGCUGUUGGGGGGAUAUUCCCAGGUUGCCCUGGGGCAGCACCGUUACAGAAUGGGCUGCUCCCCCCCCACGCUGCUAUGGUGGGGAUCCCUGUGGCCUGCACUGUCAAAAAUGUGCCCUUUUUUGGACAGGGCUUCAGGCACC
rnacentral:lncRNA from 1 species